rnacentral:lncRNA from 1 species
AUUCCUAAACUGUUGGGACCAAAACUCCCAAAAUCAAUUCCAACCUUCCUUUUGUGGUCAUAAACCUUAUGUUAAAAUUUCAUCGAUUUCUGUUUACUUAUACUAACGUUAUUGUGCGAAAACCAAGAAAAAAUGCAUAUUUGGGGCCUUUUGUGGCCCCUGAUUCCUAAACUGUUAGAACCAAAACUCUUUAAAUCAAUCCCAACC